AUUCCUCUCGUUAUACAGGUGGGUGCCUAUUUAAACUAAGACAUGAAAAUAUUCCUCUCGUUAUACAGGUGGACGCCUAUUUAAACUAAGACAUGAAAAUAUUCCUCUCGUUAUACAGGUGGGCGCCUAUUUAAACUAAGACAUGAAAAUAUUCCUCUCGUUAUACAGGUGGGCGCCUAUUUAAACUAAGACAUAAAAAUAUUCCUCUCGUUAUACAGGUGGGCGCCUAUUUAAACUAAGACAUAAAAGUAUUCCUCUCGUUAUACAAGUGGGCGCCUAUUUAAACUAAGACAUAAAAAUAUUCCUCUCGUUAUACAGGUGGGAACCUAUUUAAACUAAGACAUGAAAAUAUUCCUCUCGUUAUACAGG
rnacentral:lncRNA from 1 species